UAAAGUGGCGUACGGGUGAGUAACACGUGGAUAAUCUACCUCUUAGUGGGGAAUAACUUUGGGAAACCGAAGCUAAUACCGCAUAAGCCUGGAAAGGAAAAGCAGUAAUGCGCUGAGAGAGGAGUCCGCGGCCGAUUAGCUAGUUGGCAGGGUAAAAGCCUACCAAGGCAUUGAUCGGUAGCCGGCCUGAGAGGGCACACGGCCACACUGGCACUGAAACACGGGCCAG
rnacentral:rRNA from 1 species